AUUUAAUAAGAAAAUGUAGAAGUUUAAGGGAAAGGAGGGCAAGAAGGGAUCAAGGAUCAGAGCAAAAGCACGUAUCAUUCAAUCCCAAUCAUAGUCCCAUUAACAACCCUUUGAUCAUCACUUUCUUACUCCGCUGAUUUCUGAUUUCAUGACUCCUGCAUUGACAUGUUGCCGGCGUUGCUAGACGCCGGAGCUCCGAUUCAAAACCCUAAUCUUAACGGUCAGAUUUCUCUUCCUCUUUUGUCAAUCUUUAAUUCCCUCUUGUUUAUAUUCGGAUUCUCGAUCAGAACAACCACCAUCACCACCGCUACAAAGCUCUAUGAACCCAUCAAAUUUUGCUGAUUUAAAUUCUGGGUUUUCAAAUUCAAGCGGAAAU
rnacentral:misc_RNA from 1 species